UGGCACAGUAGGUAGCGCAUCAGUCUCAAAAGCUGAAGGUCCCCAGUUCGAUCCUCGG
rfam:Monodelphis domestica chromosome 1, whole genome shotgun sequence.